UUGUAUGAUGAAUAAGAGCUUUGCUCGAUUUAACCCAGCUCGUCGAAUGCCUCAAUUUUAAUUCCAACGUAGAGGCAGUAUGAGAACAAACCCUAUCUGAUACC
rfam:TPA: Aspergillus nidulans FGSC A4 chromosome VIII